CAGCCGCCACGGUAAUACGGAGGGGGCUAGCGUUGUUCGGAGUUACUGGGCGUAAGGCGCACGUAGGCUGCUUUGUAAGUCAGAGGUGAAAGCCCGGGGCUCAACCCCGGAUGUGCCUUUGAAACUGGCAGGCUUGAGUCUCGUAGAGGGGGGUAGAAUUCCAGGUGUAGCGGUGAAAUGCGUAGAGAUCUGGAGGAAUACCGGUGGCGAAGGCGGCCCCCUGGACGAAGACUGACGCUCAGGUGCGAAAGCGUGGGGAGCAAACAGGAUUAGAUACCCGCGUAGUCCCUGUCUCUUAUAC
rnacentral:rRNA from 1 species